CGUCAAAAAUUGAUCCACACCCGGAAAGUACACAAGAUUCUUCUAACAAUCAAGAAAUAUUUUCAAUAUUAGGGGGUCACCCGUCUAUUUAAAAAACGGCCAUGAAGAAUUAGCUGUAAGGGGUCCACUUACCUUAGUCAGGGCAUAAAUCAAGAUAGUAGAAAAGAAUUAAUUCAAAAAUAUCCAAUACCAUCAAAUUGCCCUAAAAAAUGAUUAUUUCUUCUCAAACGUACAAAACCAACUAGGAGCAGCAUUAACAGCAUUAGGGACAACAAUAUCAAAAAAGCUUGCAGAACCCACAAAAGAUAUUGUUCUAGAUAUUGACUUAUUAGAAAAAUUAGUAGAUACUGCUCAACUAAUAACUAGUUCUCAUCAUGCAGUUUCAUUAAAAAGAAGAUUCGAAAUUAAUCCUCAUUUAAAUGAAGAGUCUAGAGCAGCGGCACUUCACACUCCAAUCGAUGGAUAUCUAUUUGGAGCCGAUUUUCUUAAGCAAGUUAAGUCUUGCCAAGAAAUAAAAAAAGUCGGACAGGAGUUAAAGAGGACUGUUCAGCCAAAACCAGGACCAUCAACUUCAACUGAUCAAAAUAAUUUAAACUCCAGGCGCUUUUUCCAGAAACACAGAACAAAAAGGGGGGGGGAAAGGAUCAAUUUAAGGCAGAAUCAGACAAAGAGGAAGGAGACAACCCACCACAGGCAGAAAUACAGGGAGAAACGCUACAAUCCCUAUCAGACGCAGUACAGAACGAAUAUGAAGUAGAGGGAACACCAUCCUCUAUACGAAACGCUUUCCCUGGUGGCCGGGAAAUUCCCAGCAGUUUUAUGAAUUUAAAAGGAAUACCUCAGGAAUCCAUAUCUAUAACGAUUUCAUCCAUCACAGAAAACACUUUGAAGCAAUAUUCACUUUGUUAUAAGAAAUGGUGGCAAUUUUGCCUAAAAAAAAGCCAAGACCCCUAUUUAUACAAUUUUAAUAUGAUAUUAGAAUUUUUAUCAGAGAGUUUUAAUUCCAAACUCUCAUAUUCUUCUUUAAAUUCGUACCGGUCGGGUCUGUCGUUAAUUUUCUCGUUUCCUACGGAGGAUGAAAAACUUUUAAAAAGAUUUUUUAAAGGCCUAUAUAAUAGGAAUCCCGCAUCUCCUAGGUAUUCCAUGACAUGGGAUCCAAACCCUGUUCUUAGCAGCUACGUUAUUACAUUAUUUACAACGGACAUCAUCUUAUCGCAGUAAUUUUAAGCCAUUAAUUUUAACUUAUAAGAAACCUUAUCAUCCUGCCACUACACAGACUAUUAGUAGAUGGGUAAAGUUAAUUUUAGGCAAAGGUGGUAUAAAUACAGAUAUAUUUAAAAGUCAUAGUACUCGUCAUGCAAGUACCUCUGCCGCAUUCUGUUCGGGUUUAAAUAUUGACCUUAUUCGUACAACAGCGGGUUGGACGGAGAAGUCUACUACAUUUAAUCAAUUUUAUAAUUUACCAUUAACCCAAAAUCCGGAAAAUUUUGCAAAAUCAAUAAUUGAAAGGGUACAAAAGGUGUAGGAAACAUAUUGGUUAGGAUCAUAAGCUGUAUCUGUUUUUCCAGCUGUUUCUGUCUCAUUUAGGUUAGGUAUUAAUAAGUUCGUUCUUGCAGUAUUUUUUAGAAAUAGUGUAUUACAUAUUUUUGCUAUUAGAAUAAACUUUAA